UUGGCAAUGAUGAUUGGCGCAGGGGUACAGACCUCAGCUAAGCCAUGGGAGCUGAAUGUGAACUCUGCUUUUUUUCCAGUGUGACAGACAUGUGGUCAGUUGCCUGGAAUCAAGUUCACAUGAAAACUUUGCCUAGCGCUGAGCCAU
rnacentral:snoRNA from 1 species